AAGAGCCCUGAGAGAGAUCCCUUGGCCCUUCCACCAUGUGAGUAUACAGAGAGAAGGUAUGAUCCAUGGAUCAGGAAACCAGCCUUCCCUAGACAUGGAAUCUGCUGGCACCUUGAUUUUGAACUUCCCAGACUCCAGAACUACUCCUGCCCCUGCCACGAGAACACACCCUUUCCAGUUUGCUGGAGAAAUAUAAGAGAAGUCCAGUGAAAGAGAGCUGAGUUUCCCCAAUGAUGCCAUCAAGAUGAACUAACUACAGUUAACCAGCCAGCUGAUAGCAGAUGCAUGAGUGAGCCCAGCUGAGAGCAGGUUGUGCAAGCAUGGCACGUGCAUCUGUUUGGCUUGUGGUGAGGCCUCAGGAAGCUUACAGUCAUGGUGGAAGGCAAAGAGGGAGCCAGUACAUCACGUGAACUCGUAGAGUGAGAACUCAUUCACUACCAUGAAGACAACACCAAGCCAUUCCUGAGGUAUCAGCUCCCAUGACCUGAACAUCUCCCACUAGGCCCACCUCCAACACUGGGGGUCAAACUUCAACAUGAAAUUUGGAGGGGACAAACAUCCACGUCAUAUCAGAUAUCAUUAUUUAACCUACCAUAUCCUUGGAAUUAGGGGUUGAUGUGUUACUGCAGCAUAGUUUAAUGUAUGCUGAGGAAUAUGGAAGCCAUAGUAAGUUAAUACUAAAAUCUCACUGGACAUUAACUAUAGAAGUAUGCCCAAGGUAACUAUUUAGUAGACAUAAUCAGCCUCAACUUUUUGUUGUCUUCAUGAGGUUGCAAAUUAUAGAACUUGCUUAUGAAAGUUAAUACAAAAUGCACAAAACUGAGAAUUGUCUGUCACCCUCUGGUUUCUGGUUUCUAGGAUUUCCAGGCAAGAUAAACACCAAAUGACACCAAAAUAUGAUCUAUUCCUAUUUGGGUAUUUAUAUAUCACACAUUACAUGUGAUGAAGUUACAACAUAACUUAGGAUAUUAGGUAUAAGAUCUGAAACAAGUGAAAAUAUCUUUCUAAAGUAUAUCUAAUGACAGCAAUAAUCACAUUUUAUUUAUCAGAUUGUUUUCUAUCUGGACAAAAACACUUAAUCUAUUGAUAAUACCUUAUGUGGCAUUACAUAGCAUAAUUACAUAAUGUAAUUACAUAUGUUCAGCUGUAUUAUUUUAUGUUCUACUAGGUGGAAUCUUAUGGAAGUUUUCAUUUAAAAAAGCAAUUAUUUUUGUGUAUAUGUCUAUAUAAGACAUAAGCAGAUCAAGACAGACGAUUAGGAUAUACGCAGCAAGACUACAAUAAAAUUUUGUGGGUUUCAGUAUUAUCUCACAUAUGAGAAGAAGCUAAUGGGUAUGGAGCUUGUGCUAAUAUUUUAUUAUUUCAACUCUAGAAGAUCAUGUACUCAACCACUGAUUUAUUCAUGAAUCUAUCUAUUUAUCCUUUCAACAUUCCUUCACUAUCGACUAGGAUGAUACUGUAGUUCAUCAAUAAGAAUAUAUAGGUUUUGGAGAGAGAUUGACACCUAAAUUUCAAACUCAGCUUCACCACUUACUAACUGUGUUGAGCUAGGUAAACACAGCCUCUCUGCCCCUUAGUCAGAUGUAAGCAUGAUAAUAAUGUUUACAGUUAAGGAUUAUUGUGAAAAUUAGUGAUAAUGUACAUCAAACACUUGGUGUGCUGUAACCAUUCAACAGAUGAUAAUGGAGACUCUGGUUGUUAUUUGCCAGAAAUCAGGAUGCGAAGAUGGAAAACACAUAACUCCUCCCUCUAAAUAACUGAAGUGGAAGCAAAUGACUACAGUGUAGAUUAGAGUUACCAAUAAGCUAUGGAUCAGAGAGAAGAGAAUGAUUUAGUUUUUGGGAGAGUCAUAAAAGGUCUGCAUGAUAGAUGACUUUUGAGAUGGCUUAGAAGGAGUGAAUUGGGUGUCUGAAAGAGGAGACAUUUUAAUUAGGAGCAAUAUGUGUAGUUAUACGACAUAUUAAAGGAGAGAGAGAAUAAAAGAAAUCUUAAGUAAUUUGGUUUAUCUAGAGCACAAGGCUUUUCAAAACUCACUUUUCGGGUUUCUCAAAGAACUUAACACAGAUCUACCAUUGACCUGGCAAUCCGAUUUCCGGUAUAUACCCAAAGGAAUAUAACUCGCUCUAACAGAAAGACACAUGCACCCAUAUGUUCAUGCCAGCACUAUUCA
rnacentral:lncRNA from 1 species